rnacentral:rRNA from 1 species
UACGAAGGGGGCUAGCGUUGCUCGGAAUCACUGGGCGUAAAGCGCACGUAGGCGGCUUCUUAAGUCAGGGGUGAAAUCCUGGAGCUCAACUCCAGAACUGCCUUUGAUACUGAGUAGCUUGAGUCCGGGAGAGGUGAGUGGAACUGCGAGUGUAGAGGUGAAAUUCGUAGAUAUUCGCAAGAACACCAGUGGCGAAGGCGGCUCACUGGCCCGGUACUGACGCUGAGGUGCGAAAGCGUGGGGAUCAAACAGG